rnacentral:lncRNA from 1 species
AGAUCUGAGGCAUAUCAAAGAGAAAGACUUUGGUCGUCGUUCUUCUUCGAAGGAUCUGGCAUCAACAAGUUUACUCUAAUAUAAUCCUUAUUUUAUUGUACCAUACACCAGCAUGAUUGAUUCUGGCAAUACAAAUAAUCUUUCAAAACCUACGUGCAACCACUUCCUCGCUCCUUCAGGUUUAGAUAUUGACCGUUAUGGGG